GAAGUCUCGUUCAUCAUAGUUUUGACUUGAUCGUUACCUUGUGGCAAGUUCUCCACACCUUUCUGAAAACCAUCUGCACCCCCCAGCAAUUCCCCUUGAGCAGUGCCUCCACGAUGCGACCACCUCACACCUCACUCUGGAAAGCCUUUGGAAUACCUACAGACAAACGCGGAUCAGUUACUUGUCCUGUAAGAUGCAAAGAGAGAGAGAGAGAGAGGUGCAUCACUGCUGUUUCCUGAAGCUGAAGUGUUGAGCACAUAUAUCAAAUCCAUGUAAUGGAGGAGCAUCACAUGGGAAACACAGCCUUCAAGAGAGAUUUUAAUGGCCAUCGGUGGUGCAGAGACCACGCACCAAGCAAUGCUGAUUCUCCAGAUGUGCCCAGAGGUGCCCAGGCAGCCAAGGAGGAGACACCCCUGCACUGACCCAGCACUGGAGCAUCCUUGUGGGCUGGACCGAGGGAAAUAAACGGGCAGUAAGAGCAGCUGGCACUUUGAAAAAGGAGUGGUAGGCCAGAUGGGGUCAGCAGAAAAAUAUUUAUAGUGGAAAUGGUGGAGCUUCCUUUUCACAGCUGAUUUUUGAUGUGAUUCUCUUGUCUUUAGAAAGAUGAAACUCCAGUAAGUGAUCCUGCAUCUUAACAGAGCUGUCAGCAAAUGACUUCUGUCCCAAUGUUUUGGUGCCAUUUUUCCUGAGCGGCCUGUGUAAUCGAUGGUGAAUCUUUACAUGCCCAGAGUGAGUUACUCAGAUCCAAAGCCAUUCUGGAA